GCUUGGUUGUGGUGACAUGCCUGUAGUUCCAACUACUCAGAAGGCUGAGGCAGGAGAAUUGCGAGAGCCCUGGAGUUUGGGGCUGCAGUUCUCUGUGCUGAUCAGGUGUCCCACUAAGCUUGGCAUAAGGAGCUGAACCUGCCCAGUUCAGAAAUGGAGUUCUCAUGUAGUAGGCAGUGAGCUCUCACCUGUGAAUAGCCACUGUGCUGCAGCCUCGGCCACAUGGCAGGACCCUGUUUCU
rnacentral:sRNA from 1 species